UACGGAGGGUGCAAACGUUGCUCGGAAUCAUUGGGCGUAAAGCGCACGUAGGCGGUCCGUUAAGUCGGGUGUGAAAUCCCUCGGCUCAACCGAGGAAGUGCAUUCGAAACUGGCGGACUUGAGUAUGGAAGAGGGUCGUGGAAUUCCCGGUGUAGAGGUGAAAUUCGUAGAUAUCGGGAGGAACACCAGUGGCGAAGGCGGCGACCUGGGCCGAUACUGACGCUGAGGUGCGAAAGCGUGGGGAG
rnacentral:rRNA from 1 species